rnacentral:rRNA from 1 species
UACGUAGGGCGCAAGCGUUGUCCGGAAUUAUUGGGCGUAAAGAGCUCGUAGGCGGCUUGUCACGUCGGGUGUGAAAGCCCCGGGGCUUAACCCCGGGUCUGCAUUCGAUACGGGCAGGCUAGAGUGCGGGAGAGGAGAGUGGAAUCCUGGUGUAGCGGUGAAAUGCGCAGAUAUCAGGAAGAACACCCGUGGCGAAGGCGGCGCGCUGGACCACUACUGACGCUGAGGAACGAAAGCUAGGGGAGCAAACAGG